UUGAAACGGAGGAAGUAUUAUUAUCAGUCGUGUUAUAUUCCUUCUUUGGGCCGAAUUAUAGUAAGGAGAACCUAUUUACUUAUUCUAACUUUAAGUGACCUUUUAUACUAAAACACUAGUCUCUCGUACGGCAAAAUUUGGGAAUAAGAGUAGCCCACCAAGUGUUCGAUAAAAGUCCUCAAACAUGGAAGUUCCCCAGCCACUUGUAGCACUUGUUAAAGGUGGAGCUACUUUCAGCUGCGUCCAUUGUCGCCGUCUCUCUUGCCGCUUCCACCACCAUCAAACUUAUUCAAUCUGCCACUGAUGCAAAAAGGAUAAGAUUGUCUGCAAGCAAGAAAUGACAGAUAGGCUGUCCAGGCUUGAGAUCAAGGAGCUUAAAAGCGGCAUAGGAAGGACUCCAUUUGUCAGUGUCAUGGUGACAACCUACAAGAGCUGUAUCCACCUUCAGAUUGUUGUUGUCAAGGCUUUGGAGUUCAACGCGAUAAGCCCUAGCCCCCUCCAUACGGUGGCACAUAAAUGCUCCGUAAGGGAAUGCAGCCUUGUGACAAGCUAUUGUAGGGUUCCCAAUCUCAACAACUUUCUCUACUCCGGUUAUGAGGUACCUAUUAUAUAUAGAUGGAAUAUAAUCCGAGAUUAUAAUUAGUUACAUGACCUUAAUUACUUGAACACGAUCAAUCUAUUCUAUAGGCUCAUAUAUAAUCCAUCAAUUAUAAUUGCAUACCUUUGGUUAACUUGCAUGGGAGGGGUGACUGUAACACCAAGAACUUUAAGAUCUUCACUUGGAUUUGAGGGAUGGAACUCUGAAGAAACAAAAUCAACCAUAUCUUCUAAAGAAGGAGCACAUGUAUGGUGACCAAAUUUGAGAGGAUCUUCACAACGAGUCAAAGUGGACUGCAUCAAUUUUGCUUCUUUGGAGGCGGUGUUAAUGCCAAAAGUUGAAAGUAUUUGUGGUAAGUUUGAUGAAGUGAAUGGUAAUUUCUGGACUUCAUCUCUUGUCAUGAAGGAUGGUCCGAGGUCGGAUUGACCUAAGUAUUGCAGUUCAUGAAUGGUGCCUGGUUUUAGUAGGUCAUCUUCGCGGAUGAACAUGGAGAAUUGGUGGCAUUGAUACUCCUGGAAAUUUCAUAUUCCAGUAAGCUUUUGCACUUGGAGAAGUUGUAGUAGCGACAUCAGCAGCAACUAGUUGAAGCUAAGAUAUCACGUAGUAAUAAUAUAAUCAAGAUCAUAUAUACGAUAAUAUCAUACUAUUAAAUUAAAUGUAUGCAUGAGCCAAAAAUAAAAUAGAAUAGAGAAGAAGAUGAUGAGCAUGCAUUAAGAUAUAUAUAGACAUUGAAGUUUGUAUAUGAUACCGAGACGGCGAAGAUGAUGAGCAGGAAGAUGCAGUGAUUAUCCAUGGCUGCCAUUAAAGAUUUCUAUGAACUGAAAGAAAAAAAAUGAAAGAGAAAGAGAGAAGUUGUAGGGUAGUGAGGAUUUAUAUGAAGCAUGUAAUACCUCCUAUUUAUAGAGUAACUACGAAGGCCCUUAGAUUUACUUGGGACCCAUUUUAGCAUUUAAUUAGAAUUAGAUAUCAGUAGUUCAGUAUUAUGUAACCCUCAGGGUGGAUUCACAUGGCCUUGAGCUGUGGAUACCCUCAUGAAGUUCUUUAAAUAAUCCUUAGAUUUGAAAGGCAAUUUAUCAUGUAUAAGACUUAGAUUGUUUUUCACAACUUGGAUGUAUAUAUAUAUUUUUUUUUCCUCUCAACUUGUAUUAUUGUUGUUACCUUAAUUAAGUUUGUUUGAACUUAUCCAAGCUAAAUCUUAUAUAUUUUGUCCAAUAUGAUUUUUUCUUUUUGUUGAUUUAAUUUUUUAAACAAAGGUGAAGGACAUUACACAUCUUAAGAUAUUUAAUUUAAACCAAUAAUAA